rnacentral:rRNA from 1 species
AGCGAACGCUGGCGGCAGGCCUAACACAUGCAAGUCGAACGAACCUUUCGGGGUUAGUGGCGGACGGGUGAGUAACACGUGGGAACGUGCCUUUAGGUUCGGAAUAACUCAGGGAAACUUGUGCUAAUACCGAAUGUGCCCUUCGGGGGAAAGAUUUAUCGCCUUUAGAGCGGCCCGCGUCUGAUUAGCUAGUUGGUUGAGGUAAUGGCUCACCAAGGCGACGAUCAGUAGCUGGUCUGAGAGGAUGAUCAGCCACAUUGGGACUGAGACACGGCCCAAACUCCUACUGGAGGCAGCAGUGGGGAAUCUUGCGCAAUGAGCGAAAGCCUGACGCAGCCAUGCCGCGUGAAUGAUGAAGGUCUUAGGAUUGUAAAAUUCUUUCACCGGGGACGAUAAUGACGGUACCCGGAGAAGAAGCCCCGGCUAACUUCGUG